CCUACGGGGGGCAGCAGUGAGGAAUAUUGGACAAUGGGCGCAAGCCUGAUCCAGCCAUGCCGCGUGCAGGAUGACGGUCCUAUGGAUUGUAAACUGCUUUUGCACAGGAAGAAACAUCCCGACGUGUCGGGACUUGACGGUACUGUGAGAAUAAGGAUCGGCUAACUCCGUGCCAGCAGCCGCGGUAAUACGGAGGAUCCAAGCGUUAUCCGGAAUCAUUGGGUUUAAAGGGUCCGUAGGCGGUCAUAUAAGUCAGUGGUGAAAGCCCAUCGCUCAACGGUGGAACGGCCAUUGAUACUGUCUGACUUGAAUUAUAAAGAAGUAACUAGAAUAUGUAGUGUAGCGGUGAAAUGCUUAGAUAUUACAUGGAAUACCAAUUGCGAAGGCAGGUUACUAUUUAUGGAUUGACGCUGAUGGACGAAAGCGUGGGUAGCGAACAGGAUUAGAUACCCCGGUAGUC
rnacentral:rRNA from 1 species